UACGUAGGUGGCAAGCGUUGUUCGGAAUUAUUGGGCGUAAAGCGCGUGUAGGCGGCCCAUUAAGUCUGAUGUGAAAGCCCGGGGCUCACCCCCGGAAGUGCAUUGGAAACUGAUGACUCGAGUCCCGGAGAGGAGAGUGGAAUUCCUGGUGUAGCGGUGAAAUGCGUAGAUAUCAGGAGGAACACCGGUGGCGAAGGCGGCUCUCUGGACGGUGACCU
rnacentral:rRNA from 1 species